rfam:Trachymyrmex cornetzi contig34229, whole genome shotgun sequence.
CAACCGGCCCUUAUCAGGGCUAACCAUAUAUCUUGUACAUAAGUCU